UACGUAGGGUGCAAGCGUUGUCCGGAAUUAUUGGGCGUAAAGGCGCGUAGGCGGCCGAUCAAGUCAGAUGUGAAAGUCCUGGGCUUAACCUGGGGACUGCAUUUGAUACUGAUUGGCUUGAAUUCGGGAGAGGAUAGCGGAAUUCCCAGUGUAGAGGUGAAAUUCGUAGAUAUUGGGAAGAACACCGGUGGCGAAGGCGGCUAUCUGGACCGACAUUGACGCUGAGGCGCGAAAGCGUGGGGAGCAAACAGG
rnacentral:rRNA from 1 species